rnacentral:rRNA from 1 species
ACAAUGGAGAGUUUGAUCCUGGCUCAGGAUUAACGCUAGCGGCAGGCCUAAUACAUGCAAGUCGAGGGGCAGCGGGAUGUAGCAAUACAUUGCCGGCGACCGGCGCACGGGUGCGUAACACGUAUACAAUCUUUCCUUAACUGGGGAAUAGCUUUGAGAAAUCAGAAUUAAUACCCCAUAACAUUGCGAGGCGGCAUCGUUUUGCAAUUAAAGCUCCGGCGGUUAAGGGCGAGUAUGCGCCCCAUUAGCUAGUUGGCGAGGUAACGGCUCACCAAGGCAACGAUGGGUAGGGGUUCUGAGAGGAUUUACCCCCACACGGGAACUGAGACACGGUCCCGACUCCUACGGGAGGCAGCAGUAAGGAAUAUUGGUCAAUGGGCGCAAGCCUGAACCAGCCAUGCCGCGUGCAGGAUGAAGGUCCUACGGAUCGUAAACUGCUUUUGUACGGGAAAAAACCCCUGCCUUCGGGCGGGGCUGAUGGUACCGUAAGAAUAAGGAUCGGCUAACUCCGUGCCAGCAGCCGCGGUAAUACGGAGGAUCCGAGCGUUAUCCGGAUUUACUGGGUUUAAAGGGUGCGUAGGUGGAAUGUCAAGUCAGUGGUGAAAACCUGCAGCUCAACUGUAGAAUUGCCAUUGAUACUGUCAUUCUUGAGUGUAUUUGAUGUAAGUGGAAUGUGUCGUGUAGCGGUGAAAUGCUUAGAUAUGACACAGAACACCCAUUGCGAAGGCAGCUUACAAAACUACUACUGACACUGAGGCACGAAAGCGUGGGGAUCAAACAGGAUUAGAUACCCUGGUAGUCCACGCCGUAAACGUUGAUUACUAGAUGUGUGCGGGCAACUGCACGUGUCAAAGCGAAAGCGUUAAGUAAUCCACCUGGGGAGUACGACCGCAAGGUUGAAACUCAAAGGAAUUGACGGGGGCCCGCACAAGCGGAGGAGCAUGUGGUUUAAUUCGAUGGUACGCGAGGAACCUUACCUGGGCUUGAAAGUUAGUGACCGCCUCUGAAAAGAGGCUUUCCGAAAGGACACGAAACUAGGUGCUGCAUGGCUGUCGUCAGCUCGUGCCGUGAGGUGUUGGGUUAAGUCCUGUAACGAGCGCAACCCCUACCAUUAGUUGCCAGCGGGUAAUGCCGGGGACUCUAAUGGAACUGCCUGCGUAAGCAGAGAGGAAGGUGGGGACGACGUCAAGUCAUCACGGCCCUUACGUCCAGGGCUACACACGUGCUACAAUGGUCGAUACAACGGGUUGCUACCUGGUAACAGGAUGCUAAUCUCUAAAAUCGGCCUCAGUUCGGAUAGAGGUCUGCAAUUCGACCUCUUGAAGUUGGAUUCGCUAGUAAUCGCGCAUCAGCAAUGGCGCGGUGAAUACGUUCCCGGGCCUUGUACACACCGCCCGUCAAGCCAUGGAAGUUGAGGGUACCUGAAGUCAAUUGCCGCAAGGCGUUGCCUAAGGUAAAAUCAAUGACUGGGGCUAAGUCGUAACAAGGUAACCGUACCGGAAGGUGCGGUUGGAAUACCUCCUUUUUAGAG